rnacentral:rRNA from 1 species
AAAAAGGAGUGUAGAAGGGGGAGGAGAGCAGGUAGGGUGCAGGUGGUAAGGGGAAGUACUGGGCGUAAAGCGUGCGCAGGCGUUUUCUGAAGUCUGUCGUGGAAUACCCGGGGGGAACCUGGGAAUUGCGAGGGAGAGUGCGAGGGUAGAGUUUGGCAGAGGGGGGUAGAAUUCCACGUGUAGCAGUGAAAUGCGUAGAGAUGUGGAGGAACACCGAUGGCGAAGGCAGCCCCCUGUGUCAAAACUGACGCUCAUGCACGAAAGCGUGGGGAGCAAACAGGAUUAGAUACCCCAGUAGUC